GAGUUUGAUCAUGGCUCAGGAUGAACGCUGGCGGCGUGCCUAAUACAUGCAAGUCGAGCGAACAGACGAGGAGCUUGCUCCUCUGACGUUAGCGGCGGACGGGUGAGUAACACGUUGGAUAACCUACCUAUAAGACUGGGAUAAACUUCGGGAAACCGGAGCUAAGUACCGAAUAAUAUAUUGAACCGCAUGGUUCAAUUAGUGAAAAACGGUUUUGCUGUCACUUAUAGAUGGAUCCGCGCCGCAUUAGCUAGUUGGUAGGGUAACGGCUUACCAAGGCGACGAUGCGUAGCCGACUGAGAGGGUGAUCGGCCACACUGGAACUGAGACACGGUCCAGACUCCUACGGGA
rnacentral:rRNA from 1 species